UGGUUUGGAUAUCACAUAGCAUGGGAGGUCUUCUUGUCAAAAAGAUGCUGUUGGAAGCCUCUAUGAAGCCAGAAAUGAGUACUGUUAUCAACAAUACCAGGGGAAUAAUUUUUUAUAGUGUCCCUCAUCAUGGAUCACGUUUGGCUGAAUACUCUGUUAAUAUUCGCUAUCUUCUCUUCCCCUCGUUGGAAGUCAAAGAACUCAGCAAAGAUUCUCCUGCACUUAAAACACUACAAGAUGACUUUCUGGAGUUUGCUAAAGACAAAAACUUCCAGGUGCUGAAUUUUGUGGAAACACUACCAACCUACAUUGGCAGCAUGAUUAAGCUCCAUGUGGUACCUGUGGAAUCAAUUUAGGCAUUGGAGAUCUAAUUCCUGUGGAUGUUAACCAUUUGAACAUUUGUAAGCCAAAGAAAAAGGAUGCUUUUUUGUACCAGCGUACUUUACAAUUCAUCCGUGAAGCUUUAGCCAAAGACCUUGAAAACUAACAGUUGUGCUCUUCCAGUUUUCAUAUGUGAAUUCAGUGCAAGAAACCUGGCGUUCUGUUUCUUCUUUUAAGCUCUAAGGAAUCAUGCAAACAUAGUGAUCGUAGCGUCAACAUGGUCUGGAGCGUGUUGCAGACUACAGAACAUUGUUCUCCCUUCAAGCGCUGUAAAGCACCAACCCGGAAGUGGCAGGCACAGAAGGAAGGGCUGGAUUGGGCCCCUUUGGUGUAAAGAAGUGCCUGUGUGCUGCUUUAUGGUUCGCAGUGUUGGGCCUGGUGACUGGAGCAAAGCUGCUGUGAGAGAGUGUCCUUUCCCAUCUGUGACUUUCCUGGUGCAUCCAGGAGGGGCAUGGCAGGUUCUGAGGUAACUCAACUUACCAUAAAAAUGCCAUUAAGAGAGUACCUAAAAUGGAGAGAAGAAUGAACUAGAACAUUCAAGACUCUUUUACUUCUGGGUAUUGAUUUGCUGUACAUUUUUAAAGUUUGAGUUUUUAGCUCAGUUCUACCUUUUAUCUGACACAUUAUUACUAGUGUUAACUUUGUUAGACUUAUUGUCAUGUCUGGGUCAGUUCCUUGUAUCUAUUUUCGUAUUCCUGAGAACAAAUCUUUUUCUUAGAAAAAUUCUAGCUUAUGAUAAUUCUUUUCAGACUGUAGCUGCCUAUGCUUGGAAUUUGUCCUAGAUAAGGAUAAAGUAGCUAAUCCAUUAUUGAUCACAGUAUGAAAUAAAACUAUUCUAAGCCAUUAUAUGAAUUAGCAAUUCUUAGUAUCAAGAUUCUCAGAUUCUCUUUGGCUAAAUAAACCUUUCUUCUUCCUUGCUCAUUUGGAAGUGGUAUUAAUUGACCUCUAUAGCAUGUGAGAAGUAGAAAGUAGAUAAUCAUGUCGAUGACCUUUUUUUCUUUAGAGUAACAGCAUUAUUGAGAUAUAAUUUACAUACCAUAAGAUUCACCCUUUUAAAUUGUACAAUUCAUUUUUGUUUUGUUUUGUUUAGAGACGACAGGGUCUGACUCUGUUGCCCAAGCUGGAGUGCAGUGGCAUGAUCAUAGCUCAUUGUAACCUCAAACUCCUGGGCUCAAGAGAUCCUUUUGCUUCAGCCUCCCAAGCAGCUAGGACUACAGGCACAUGCCGCCACACUUGGGUAAUUAAAAAAUAAAUAAAUACUUUUUUGUAGAGACAGGGUCUCACUGUGUUGCCCAGGUCUCAAACUCCUGAUCUCAAGCCACCCUCCCAAAAUGCUGUGAUUAUAGGCCAGAGCCAUUGUUCCCAGGCUCAAUUCAUUGGUUUUUAGUAUAGUUCACUGAGUUGUGCAACAUCAUUGCUAUUUAAUUUCAGGCUAUUUCAUCAUCGCCCAAAGAACCCCAUACCCAUGAGCAGUCAGUUCCCACCUCUGCUUUCCCAAGCUUGCGGUAAACACUAAUCUGUUUUCUGUCUCUAUGGAUUUGGGAAUUUUAUGUAAAUGGAAUCAUAUAAUAUGUGGCCCUCUCUGCCUUCUUCCUUCUAUUAGCAUGUUUUCAAGGUUCAUUCAUGAUAUAGCAUGUAUCAGUACUUCAUUUCUUUUUAUGGCCGAAAUUACUCCAUUGUAUGAUAUGCCAUGUUUCUUUAUCCAUUCAUCAGCUGAUGGACAUCUAGGUUCUGUUCAUUUUUGUCUAGGUUCUGUUCAUUUUUGUCUAUGAUAAAUAAUGCUACCAUGAUCAUUUGUGUACAAAUUUAUGUGUGGAUAGAUGUUUUUGAUUCUCUUGGGUGGAAUUGCUGGUCAAAUGGUAAGUCUAUGCUUAAAUUUUGAAGAUGGUGAACUUUUGUAGAAUGAGAUAGUCAAA
rnacentral:lncRNA from 1 species